AGCUUAAUAUUUUGACCUAUUAUUUCCUUUCCUAAAAAUUUGGAACUUAAGUUUGAUUUGUUUUUAGUUUGGUUGGCCAAACCCGGACCCCACACACACACCAACCAAUCCCGUCUCUCUCUCUCCCUCUCUCGGUUUUCUUCCAUUUUUCGUACAAUACGUACGGUCAACCUUCGAACCUAGCUCACUAAUCACGGAUCGAGGUUUUGGAAGCCAUCUUCGUGUUCCUUGUGAACUCAGGAACACAUCCAUACCAUUUUUAGAACGUGAAUCCUUCGAAAACCCGAGAACCCAAAAAUCCCAGAUUUGAGCACUGUUCAUGCAGUCGUGAUCAUGGAAGUUUCAGUGAAUUUUAAGGUUCUACUUUAGGACGUCUUCAAGAAGCUCGGGGAAGAAAGUUGGAGUGUUUUGGACGUCGGGAAAUCCCAGUUCACAAGUUUCAAGUUUUGGCCAGAUUAUCGAUGUUUCUCCGACGAGAUUCGGUGGAUUUUAGGGCUUAAAAUUGAAACUGGCGAUCGCAGCGGCACCGACGAUGGUCUCCGACAAACCAAGGAAGACGAAGGGGAACAUUCCGUCAAGUUUGAUGGAAUAUUCUAACGGCGUUAGGUGAGACCUAUCCGAAGGACGAGCACCAUCAAUCGAGG